GCCACUGUGCCUGGCCAAUUAAUUUCUUAAACUAUUAUUGGUGAGCUUACUUUUAACUUCUGCUUGAUAUGAAAAAAUUACUUUUAACUAGCUGCUAGAGAUUCAUUCAGAUAUUGUCAACAUUUUUUCUUUUUAGCAUUUGACAUUUAAUGAUGGGGUAAAUAACCUUGGUUAGAAUUAAAAUAAUAAAAUACAAACUAAUUUUAUUUAAUUAUUCAAGCCCAGGCCAUACAUAAAAGCACUGAGGAUCAAACAUAAAUAUCCACAAGGGUGCCAGUGACAGCCAACAGGCAUGUGCAAACCACCUCUCACAAUACGUUUUAAAGAUCAAGCAGUCUUUCAAAGCACAGUCAUCCAUUUGCCGUGGUUUUGUAGCACUGAUAUUAUACAUAUUUUAUAUAUAGUUCCAUUAACUGAAUGUCAAAGCUGCCUGUGUGACACCUAAGAAAAUUCAGUGAGAGCAAUACUAAGACAUAAAGAUUUUUGUUGGAUGGGUUGGACUUUGGAGGGCCACGGACCAUUAUCUAAGGUUUUUUGUCCCCUCCCCAAACAAAUUUUUGCCCAUUUAUGGAUGUGAUCACCCACACUGGGAAUACAUGUCAUAGGGUUAGGAGAAAAAAUGGAUUAGACGCCUUUUAGUAAAUACAAAGAAUAGAAAACAGACUGAUUUCCGAGCAGGAUAUAUUUUUAUCCAAAAAUAUAUUUUAUCAUCUGUGAAAGUUAAAAUGGUUUGUUUGUUUCCUUGCCUAAAUCCAGGGAAAGGUAUCUUGAAUGACACAUCACAUUUUCUGAAGAUGCAGGACAAAUAAAAAGUUACUAAGAAUACAGUUUAUACACUUAUCAUCUCCAACAAAGAGAAAACCGCCAGGGGAGCUAGCAAAGAGGGAUUUUGUUGAGCAGAAAUGAGAGGAGGGAAGAGGAAAAAAGCAUAAUAUUUCAAUGUAGCUAUUACUCCAAGACAUUUUUGUAAAAGUUACAAAUAUUGUACCUGGAGCCCAUCUACUUGUUUUACAGAGAACCUAUUAGUUUGCUUUCAUAGCUUCUUCCAUCUCCAAAUGUGUAUCAGACAGACGUCUGGUUUUCUAACUGCUGCCAAUUAGAAAAGAAUCCAUAAUCAGAUAAAGUUCUUACCUUACAUUUCACUGUCCAGUUUUUAUUUUCCUGAACAUGACUGAUCAACUGCCACAGAAAAAAAACCAAAGGGGACUGUGAUGUGUACAUUCAUUGAGGUACUCAAAUAUAACUAAGAAAAAUCUCCCCACAAAAACAGGGCUUAAAAAAACAAAAAAACAAAACUGUUUCCCAACGCUGCAUGAGCAUCUUCUUUGUCAUCACAUCUUUUAUAUGCCUAGGGGCAAAACUUAUUUUAAAAGUACAGGAAAUCCUUUUUUUUUUUUUUUUUUUGAGACGGAGUCUCACUCUGUUGCCCAGGCUGGAGUGCAGUGGUGCGAUCUUGGCUCACUGCUUCACUGCAAGCUCCACCUCCAGGGUUCACGCCAUUCUCCGGCCUCAGCCUCCCGAGUGGCUGGGACUACAAGCGCCUGCCACCACACCAGGCUAAUUUUUUUGCAUUUUUAGUAGAGACGGGGUUUCACUGUGUUAGCCAGGAUGGUCUCAAUCUCCUGAUCUCAUGUUCCACCCGCCUCGGCCUCCCUAAGUGCUGGGAUUACAGGUGUGAGCCACCGCACCUGGCCCAGGAAAUCCUUUUAUAUGAACCCUAACAAUUCUAUGUAAGAAGCAAACAUAGUUGGAAAAUUAAGUCUGAAUUUUUUAAAGUUUGGGGACACAAUAGAGAUAUAUUGUCUUUCAAAUAUAAAGUGUACAUGCUCACUAAACGUACUUUAAGACCACUUAAGAUGAACAUGUGAUAGUUAUUAAUAUUAUAAGAGGGAUGAAGAAAAUGAAAGCAAAGUUUUAUAAAGAUUAAUUCAAGUGAACAUACUAGCAGUGGAAUUAGAAAAUCCUUACCACCCUAGCUAAAUAAAAGCAGUCAACUACUGCACUAGUGUGUAUUUUCAAGCAAAUACAGAAGCAAAACUCAUUAGCUCUUUAAAAAAUACACACAUUUAAUGUUGGUCUGUUUUAAUUUCUAAGUAAAG
rnacentral:lncRNA from 10 species